rnacentral:rRNA from 1 species
UACGUAUGGAGCAAGCGUUAUCCGGAUUUACUGGGUGUAAAGGGUGCGUAGGUGGCAGUGCAAGUUAGAUGUGAAAGGCCGGGGCUCAACCCCGGAGCUGCAUUUGAAACUGCUCGGCUAGAGUACAGGAGAGGCAGGCGGAAUUCCUAGUGUAGCGGUGAAAUGCGUAGAUAUUAGGAGGAACACCAGUGGCGAAGGCGGCCUGCUGGACUGUUACUGACACUGAGGCACGAAAGCGUGGGGAGCAAACAGG